rnacentral:siRNA from 1 species
GGACAGCAAGUGGUGCAACCGUG